UCUACUUUCAGUGCUCUGCCUUCAGAUUGAAUUGUCUUCAGAAGAAUUUCCCAUGUAAUCGGGAAAAUCCCAUUUACUCUAGCUUUGCUAUUAAGUGUGGUGGUCAAGAAAUAACGUCGUCUAACCAGAUAGUGUAUGAGAGGGAUAAUGAGACUCUUGGUCCGACAACAUAUUACAU